rnacentral:rRNA from 1 species
CACUGACAUUAGAUACCCGGGUAGUCCCAGCCGUAAACAAUGUGCGUUAGGUGUGUCGGUAACCACGCGUUACUGAUGCGCCGAAGAGAAAUCGUGAAACGCACCACCUGGGAAGUACGGUCGCAAGGCUGAAACUUAAAGGAAUUGGCGGGGGAGCACCACAACAGGUGGAGCCUGCGGUUUAAUUGGAUUCAACGCCGGACAUCUCACCGGAUAAGACAGCUGAAUGAUUGUCAAUCUGAAGGUUUUACAUGACUAGCUG